rnacentral:rRNA from 1 species
UACGGGGGGAGCAAGCGUUGUUCGGAUUUACUGGGCGUAAAGGGCGCGUAGGCGGCGCGACAAGUCACUUGUGAAAUCUCUGGGCUCAACCCAGAACGGUCAAGUGAUACUGUCGUGCUAGAGUGCGGAAGGGGCAACUGGAAUUCUUGGUGUAGCGGUGAAAUGCGUAGAUAUCAAGAGGAACCCCUGCGGCGAAGGCGGGUUGCUGGGCCGACACUGACGCUGAGGCGCGAAAGCCAGGGGAGCAAACGGG